rnacentral:rRNA from 1 species
AUACGUAGGUGGCAAGCGUUGUCCGGAUUUACUGGGUGUAAAGGGUGCGUAGGCGGGUAGGCAAGUCAGGUGUGAAAGCCCUUGGCUCAACUGUGGGAUUGCAUUUGAAACUGCAGACCUUGAGUGCAGGAGAGGUAAGCGGAAUUCCUAGUGUAGCGGUGAAAUGCGUAGAUAUUAGGAGGAACACCAGUGGCGAAGGCGGCUUUCUGGACGAUAACUGACGCUGAGGCGCGAAAGCGU